rnacentral:rRNA from 1 species
ACGCUCGACACCUACGGAGGCAGCAGUGGGGGAUAUUGCACAAUGGGGGAAACCCUGAUGCAGCAACGCCGCGUGAAGGAAGAAGGUUUUCGGAUUGUAAACCUCUGUCCUUGGUGACGAUAAUGACGGUAGCCAAGGAGGAAGCUCCGGCUAACUACGUGCCAGUAGCCGCGGUAAUCUGAGCGGGCUGGCAAGGC